CGAACAGACAUGUAGUUGUAACCAGACAAGUUGGACACACAGGAACAGAGGGGUUGAGGGCCCUGCUCAAUGAGCUUACAUGCUAGAGGGAGUGGGGUAAAAUGACACAAAAAGGUAAGGAUAGUAUUAGACUAGUGACAGUUGCAGAAGAGGAAUCAGUCAGGAGCUAUUAACAGUUUAAUUGAUACGCUUUUAUGAAGAAGUGGGUUUUUAACAAUUUUUUUUGAAGGAGUGGAGACUGGGUGAGCAUCUAACGGAGGAGGGAAGCGAGUUCCACAGGAACGGUGCAGCCCUCGAGAAAUCUUGAAGGCGAGCAUCAGAGGUGGGAGUACGGACAGAAGAUAGACGUAAGUCUUCAGCAGAUCAUAAGGGCCUAGAGGGGAC